rnacentral:rRNA from 1 species
UACAGAGGUCCCAAGCGUUGUUCGGAUUUACUGGGCGUAAAGGGUGCGUAGGUGGCGAGGUAAGUUCGAUGUGAAAUCUCCGAGCUCAACUCGGAAAUGGCAUUGAAUACUAUCCCGCUUGAGGGUCGGAGGGGAGACUGGAAUUCUCGGUGUAGCAGUGAAAUGCGUAGAUAUCGAGAGGAACACCAGUGGCGAAGGCGACUACCUGGCCCACUCUUGACGCUGAGGCGCGAAAGCUAGGGGAGCGAACGGG